rnacentral:rRNA from 1 species
CUUCGGAAGAUGAGUGGCGAACGGGUGAGUAAUACAUAGGUAACCUGCCCCUGUGCGGGGGAUAACAGGAGGAAACUCCUGCUAAUACCGCAUAGCCAUGAGCACCGCAUGGAGCUCAUGCCAAAUAUCCUUUCGGGGAUAGCGCAGGGAUGGACCUAUGGCGCAUUAGCUUGUUGGCGGGGCAACGGCCCACCAAGGCAACGAUGCGUAGCCGGCCUGAGAGGGCGGACGGCCACAUUGGGACUGAGACACGGCCCAGACUCCUACGGGAGGCAGCAGUAGGGAAUUUUCGGCAAUGGGGGAAACCCUGACCGAGCAACGCCGCGUGAAGGAAGAAGUAAUUCGUUAUGUAAACUUCUGUCAUAGAGGAAGAACGGUGGAUAUAGGGAAUGAUAUCCAAGUGACGGUACUCUAUAAGAAAGCCACGGCUAACUACGUGCCAGCAGCCGCGGUAAUACGUAGGUGGCGAGCGUUAUCCGGAAUGAUUGGGCGUAAAGGGUGCGUAGGUGGCAGAUCAAGUCUGGAGUAAAAGGUAUGGGCUCAACCCGUACUUGCUCUGGAAACUGAUCAGCUAGAGAACAGAAGAGGACGGCGGAACUCCAUGUGUAGCGGUAAAAUGCGUAGAUAUAUGGAAGAACACCGGUGGCGAAGGCGGCCGUCUGGUCUGGAUUCUGACACUGAAGCACGAAAGCGUGGGGAGCAAAUAGGAUUAGAUACCCUAGUAGUCCACGCCGUAAACGAUGAGUACUAAGUGUUGGGGGUCAAACCUCAGUGCUGCAGUUAACGCAAUAAGUACUCCGCCUGAGUAGUACGUUCGCAAGAAUGAAACUCAAAGGAAUUGACGGGGGCCCGCACAAGCGGUGGAGCAUGUGGUUUAA